rnacentral:rRNA from 1 species
AAUCAACGCUGGCGGCGUGCCUCAGACAUGCAAGUCGAACGAGAAAGUCCCCUUCGGGGGAUAAGUAAAGUGGCGCACGGGUGAGUAACACGUAGGUAAUCUACCUUCGGGUGGGGAAUAACCCAGGGAAACUUGGGCUAACACCGCAUAAUGCAGCGGCACCACAUGGUGACAGUUGUUAAAGCGGGGGAUUUUCGGACCUCGCGCCUGAAGAGGAGCCUGCGGCGGAUUAGCUAGUUGGAAGGUAACGGCUUACCAAGGCAACGAUCCGUAGCCGGCCUGAGAGGGCGGUCGGCCACACUGACACUGACAUACGGGUCAGACUCCUACGGGAGGCAGCAGUCGGGAAUUUUGGGCAAUGGGCGAAAGCCUGACCCAGCAACGCCGCGUGAAGGAUGAAAUCCCUCGGGAUGUAAACUUCGCAAGAAUGGGAAGAAUUAGCGAGCGCUAAUACCGCUCGUGAUGACGGUACCAUUUGUAAGCUCCGGCUAACUCCGU